GGGUAUAGACCCGAAACCCGGUGAUCUAGCCAUGGGCAGGUUGAAGGUUGGGUAACACUAACUGGAGGACCGAACCGACUAAUGUUGAAAAAUUAGCGGAUGACCUGUGGCUGGGGGUGAAAGGCCAAUCAAACCGGGAGAUAGCUGGUUCUCCCCGAAAGCUAUUUAGGUAGCGCCUCGUGAAUUCAUCUCCGGGGGUAGAGCACUGUUUCGGCUAGGGGGCCAUCCCGGCUUACCAACCCGAUGCAAACUGCGAAUACCGGAGAAUGUUAUCACGGGAGACACACGGCGGGUGCUAACGUCCGUCGUGAAGAGGGAAACAACCCAGACCGCCAGCUAAGGUCCCAAAGUCAUGGUUAAGUGGGAAACGAUGUGGGAAGGCCCAGACAGCCAGGAUGUUGGCUUAGAAGCAGCCAUCAUUUAAAGAAAGCGUAAUAGCUCACUGGUCGAGUCGGCCUGCGCGGAAGAUGUAACGGGGCUAAACCAUGCACCGAAGCUGCGGCAGCGACGCUGAUGCGUUGUUGGGUAGGGGAGCGUUCUGUAAGCCUGCGAAGGUGGCCUGUGAGGGUUGCUGGAGGUAUCAGAAGUGCGAAUGCUGACAUAAGUAACGAUAAAGCGGGUGAAAAGCCCGCUCGCCGGAAGACCAAGGGUUCCUGUCCAACGUUAAUCGGGGCAGGGUGAGUCGACCCCUAAGGCGAGGCCGAAAGGCGUAGUCGAUGGGAAACGGGUUAAUAUUCCCGUACUUGGUGUUACUGCGAAGGGGGGACGGAGAAGGCUAUGUUGGCCGGGCGACGGUUGUCCCGGUUUAAGCGUGUAGGUGUGUGUUCCAGGUAAAUCCGGUUCACUUUAACACUGAGGCGUGAUGACGAGGCACUACGGUGCUGAAGCAACAAAUGCCCUGCUUCCAGGAAAAGCCUCUAAGCAUCAGGUAACAUCAAAUCGUACCCCAAACCGACACAGGUGGUCAGGUAGAGAAUACCAAGGCGCUUGAG
rnacentral:rRNA from 1 species